rnacentral:rRNA from 1 species
UACGUAGGGGGCUAGCGUUGUCCGGAUUUAUUGGGCGUAAAGAGCUCGUAGGCGGCUUGUUGCGUCGACCGUGAAAACCCGGGGCUCAACUUCGGGCUUGCGGUCGAUACGGGCGGGCUAGAGUUCGGUAGGGGAGACUGGAAUUCCUGGUGUAGCGGUGAAAUGCGCAGAUAUCAGGAGGAACACCGGUGGCGAAGGCGGCAUCCUGGACCGGCAUUGACGCUGAGGCGCGAAAGCCAGGGGAGCAAACGGG